AUUGACUCAUUCACUGCAGUGGGACUACCUGGGUUGUCAGACAGAUCCCCCAAUAUAUAAGUAGUAAGUAACUUAAUUAUGAGAAUAAUAAAUACACACUUUUUUCCACGUACACCUGCUCCUUCAGACAUACCCACGGGAAUAAAUCUGGAGCUGAAAGGUCAGGUGAACGUAACUGCUUAUUAGGGAAUUUCUUGGUAUUCUCCGCUUGCUGAACAGCAGUUUCAGAAGGUCCAUUGUUUCCCCGGCUAGAUGGGCAGUAACCCCAUCCUGUUAUAACCACAAUUCAGAAUGAUUUUCCACCAAACAUAAAGCCUU